UGUGAGGCUAGUGUGUAGGCAAAUCCGCACACUAUUAGGCUGGGCUGUGAUGGGGAGCGAAAAUUGUAGUAGCGAAGGUCAUGUACUCCGGCUGUCAAGAAAAGCCUCUAGUGAGAUCUAGGUGCCCGUACCGCAAACCGACACAGGUAGGCGAGCAGAGCAUGCUAAGGCGCGCGGAAGAACUCUCGUUAAGGAACUCGGCAAAAUGACCCCGUAACUUCGGGAGAAGGGGUGCCUCGGUAGGGUGAAUAGCCCGAGGGGCCGCAGUGAAAAGGCCCAAGCGACUGUUUAGCAAAAACACAGGUCUGUGCGAAGCCGUAAGGCGAAGUAUACGGGCUGACGCCUGCCCGGUGCUGGAAGGUUAAGGGGAGCGGUUAGGGGUAACCCGAAGCUGUGAACCGAAGCCCCAGUAAACGGCGGCCGUAACUAUAACGGUCCUAAGGUAGCGAAAUUCCUUGUCAGGUAAAUUCUGACCCGCACGAAUGGCGUAACGACUUGGGCGCUGUCUCAACGAGAGAUCCGGUGAAAUUUUAAUACCUGUGAAGAUGCAGGUUACCCGCGACAAGACGGAAAGACCCCAUGGAGCUUUACUGUAACUUGAUAUUGGACUUUGGUACGAUCUGUACAGGAUAGGUGGGAGCCUUAGAAGCAUGAGCGCCAGCUUGUGUGGAGGCAUCGUUGGGAUACCACCCUGAUCGUAUCGGAGUUCUAACCUGCUGCCGUGAAACCGGCAGAGGGACCGUGUCAGGUGGACAGUUUGACUGGGGCGGUCGCCUCCUAAAAUGUAACGGAGGCGCCCAAAGGUUCCCUCAGAAUGGUUGGAAAUCAUUCGAAGAGUGCAAAGGCAUAAGGGAGCUUGACUGCGAGACCUACAAGUCGAGCAGGGACGAAAGUCGGGCUUAGUGAUCCGGUGGUACCGAAUGGAAGGGCCAUCGCUCAACGGAUAAAAGCUACCCUGGGGAUAACAGGCUUAUCUCCCCCAAGAGUCCACAUCGACGGGGAGGUUUGGCACCUCGAUGUCGGCUCAUCGCAUCCUGGGGCUGAAGUAGGUCCCAAGGGUUGGGCUGUUCGCCCAUUAAAGCGGUACGCGAGCUGGGUUCAGAACGUCGUGAGACAGUUCGGUCCCUAUCUGUCGCGGGCGCAGGAAAUUUGAGAGGAGCUGUCCUUAGUACGAGAGGACCGGGAUGGACGUACCGCUGGUGUACCAGUUGUUCCGCCAGGAGCACCGCUGGGUAGCCAAGUACGGACGGGAUAAGCGCUGAAAGCAUCUAAGCGUGAAGCCCCCCUCAAGAUGAGAUUUCCCAGUAUGUAAGACCCCUUGAAGACGACGAGGUUGAUAGGUUCGGGGUGGAAGCACAGCAAUGUGUGUAGCUGACGAAUACUAAUCGGUCGAGGGCUUAUCCAA
rnacentral:rRNA from 1 species